rnacentral:rRNA from 1 species
UACAGGGGGGGCAAGCGUUGUUCGGAAUUACUGGGCGUAAAGGGCUCGUAGGUGGCCAACUAAGUCAGACGUGAAAUCCCUCAGCUUAACUGGGGAACUGCGUCUGAUACUGGAUGGCUUGAGUUUGGGAGAGGGAUGCGGAAUUCCAGGUGUAGCGGUGAAAUGCGUAGAUAUCUGGAGGAACACCGGUGGCGAAGGCGGAUCUCUGGGCCAUUACUGACGCUGAGGCGCGAAAGCGUGGGGAUCAAACAGG